rnacentral:rRNA from 1 species
GACGAGGGGGGCGAGCGUUGUCCGGAUUUAUUGGGCGUAAAGAGCGCGUAGGCGGCUCGGAAAGUGGGAUGUGAAAACCCGAGGCUCAACCUCGGGCGUGCAUUCCAAACGUCCCCGGGCUCGGAGGCAGGUAGGGGAGAUCGGAAUCCUGGUGUAGCGGUGAAAUGCGCAGAUAUCAGGAGGAACACCGGUGGCGAAGGCGGAUCUCUGGGCCUGUUCGUGACGCUGAGGCGCGAAAGCUAGGGGAGCAAACAGG